GUUGUAGCUCGUCGUACAGGUGCAGGUUCCUGUGUCCCAGCCCAGCCCCAGGGCAGGGCAGUUGCAGGUUCCUGUGUCCCAGCCCAGCCCAGGGCAGGGCGUACACGUGUUCUUGGGGCAGCUUGCAGGAGCAGCGUGGGCAAAGAGGAUCCUGUCCUCUGAACGUCAGGGCUCGACGCCUCAUCGCUGACGGCUGCUUCUGGGCAAAGAGGAUCCUGUCCUCUGAACGUCAGGGCUCGACGCCUCAUCGCCGACGGCUGCUUCUGACUAGGGUGCAGACGAAGGGGGGGCAGCCACUGUCGCUGCGCCUCCCUCUCUGGAUGGCAGCCUCUCCCUGCUUCAUUUUUGCCUUCCACCUCUCAGGAGCCAGACAUUAAAGAGUAGGGCACUCAAAAACAAUUGCAUGUAUGAGAAAAUUGAAAAGUGACUGUGCACAUCCAGGGAAGGGCUCAGAAAAGACCUGAGAAAAACUGAAGUUUACAUCUCCAGCUGAUCCCUGGCAAAGAGCCUACAACAGUAAAAAUAAAUAACAAACCAGUAAACGCUGGGGAAGGGGGAGAAUCUGAUUUCCAGAGUUAUGCUAUUAUUAGAUUUAAAUGUCCAGUGUUCAGCAAAAACAACAACAAAAUCACAAGGCAUACAAAGAAACAGGAAGGUCUGUUGAAAGGAAAAAAAAGAAUUCAGCAGAAUCUGUCCGUGAAAGAGAUUUAAUGGCAGACAUAUUAGCCAAAGACUUUAAAACAACUGUUAAAGAUGCUCAAAGAACUAAAGAUGUGGAGAAAGUGAAGAAAAUGAUGUGUGAACAAAAUAGAAAUAUCAAAGAGAACCAAAAAAAGAAACCAAAAAUAUGGAGCCGAAAACUGCAGUAACUGAAGUGACAAAUUGGCUAGAAGGCUUUAAAGACAAUUUGAGCAGGCAGAAGAAUCAGUGAACUUCAAGAUAGGACAGUGGAAGUUAUUGAGGCUAACAGAGCCUAAGAGAUCCACGGGACACCAUCGGAAGGACCAACAUAUGCAUCGUGGGAGCCUGAGAAGAAGAAAGAAAGAGGCAGAAUAUGUGAAUAAAUAAUGGCUGAAAAUUUUCCAGAUUUCGUGAGACACAUGAAUAUAAACAUACAGGCAUACCUUAGAGAUUGUGAGUUUGGUUCCAGACCACUGCAAUAAAGCAAAUAUUGCAAUUAAGUGAGUCCACACGAAUUUUUGGUUUCCCGUUGCGUAUGAAAGUUAUGUUCAUACUAUACUGUGGUCUUUUAAAAUAAAUUUAUUAUUUACUUUAUGGCUGUGUUGGAUCUUUGAUGCUAUGCGCGGGCUUUCUCUAGUUGCAGCGAGCGGGGGGCUACUCUUCAUUGUGGUGCGUGGGCCUCUCCUUGUGGUGGCUUCACUUGUGGAGCAUGGGCUCCAGGCACACAGGCCUCAGCGUUUGUGGCACGUGGGCUCAGCAGCUGUGGCUCACGGGCUCUGGAGCACAGACUCAGUAGUCGUAGUGCAUGGGCUUAAUUGCUCCGCAGCAUGUGGGAUCCUUCCGGACCAGGGCUCGAACCCGUGUCCCCUGCAAUGGCAGGCAGAUUCCCAACCAUUGUGCCACCAGGGAAGUCCCUAUACUGUGGUCUAUUAAGUGUGCAAUAGCAUUGGCUAAAAAAAAAAAAAAAAAAAAGUACUUUCAUUUAAAAAUACUGUCAAAAAAAUCCUAACCAUCGUCGAGCCUUCACUGAGCUGUAGUGGUAACAUCAAAUAUCACUGAUCACAGAUCACCAAUUCAAAUAUGAUAAUAAUGAAAAAGUUUGAAAUAUUGCAAGAAACACCAAAAUGUGACAUAAGAGACAUGAAGUGAGCAAAUGCUGUUGGAAUGAUGGUGCCAGUAGACUUGCCUGAUGCAGGGUUGCCACAAACCUUCAGUUGGUAAAAAAAAAAAAAAAAAACCAGUAUCUGCAAAGCACAGUAAAAUGAAGAAUGGCCUGUACAAGAAGCUAAACAAAUUCCAAGUAAGAUGAACUCCAGAAGAUCACAAGACAUGCAGUCAAACUUUCAAAAGACAGAGGGCAGACAGCAGAAGCAAGAAGAACUACAAUUCUAUCGCUUCUCGGCCUUUUGGCUAAGAUCAAGUGAAGAAGAACUACAAUUUCUGCAGCCUGUGGAGGGAAAACCACAUUCACAGAAAGAUAGACAAGAUGAAAAGACAGAGGACUUGGUACGAGAUGAAGGAAUAAGAUAAACCCCCAGAAAAACAACUAAAUGAAGAGAUAGGCAACCUUGCAGGAAAAGAAUUCAGGAUGAUGAUAGUGAAGAUGAACCAGGACCUUGGAAAAAGAAUGGAGGCAAAGAUCGAGAAGAUGCAAGAAAUCUUCAACAAAGACCUGGAAGAAUUAAAGAGCAAACAAACAGAGAUGAACAAUACAAUAACUGAAGUGAAAACUACACUAGAAGGAAUCAAUAGAAUAACUAAGGCAGAGGAGCGGAUAAGUGACCUGGGAGACAGAAAGGUGGAAUUCACUGCUGCAGAACAGAAUAAAGAAAAAGAAUGGAGAGAAAUGAAGACAGCCUAAGAGACCUCUGGCACAACAUUAAAUGCAACAAUAUUCGCAUUAUAGGGGUCCCAGAAGGAGAAGAGAGAGAGAAAGGACCUGAGAAAAUAUUUGAGGAGAUUAUAGGCGAAAACUUCCCUAACAUGGGAAAGGAAACAACUACCCAAGUCCAGGAAGCGCAGAGUCCCAGACAGGAUAAACCCAAGGAGAAACACACUGAGACACAUAGUAAUCAAAUGACAAAAUUAUUGAAAACAAAAAGGGAAAAAACAACAAAUAACAUAUAAGGGAACUCCCAUAAGGUUAACAGCUGAUUUCUCAGCAGAAAUUCUACAAGCCAGAGGGGAGUGGCAUGAUAUAUUUAAAGUGAUGAAAGGGAAGAACCUACAACCAAGAUUACUCUACUCGGCAGGGAUCUCAUUCAGAUUCGUGGGAGAAAUCAAAAGCUUUACAGACAAGCAAAAGCUAAGAGAAUUCAGCACCACCAAACCAGCUCUGCAACAAAUGCUAAAGGAACUUCUCUAAGUGGGAAACACAAGAGAAGAAAAGGAUCUACAAAAACAAACCCAUAACAAUGAAGAAAAUAGUAAUAGGAACAUACAUAUCAAUAAUUACCUUAAACGUGAAUGGAUUAAAUGCUUCAGCCGAAAGACAGAGGCUCGCUGAAUGGAUACAAAAACAAGACCCAUAUAUAUGCUGUCUGUGAGAGACCCACUUCAGACCUAGGGACACAUACAGACUGAAAGUGAGGGGAUGGAAAAAGAUAUUCCAUGCAGAUGGAAAUCAAAAGAAAGCUGUUGUAGCAGCACUUAUAUCAGAAAAAAAUAGACUUUAAAAUAAAGAAUGUUACAAGAGACAAGGAAGGACACUACAUAAUGAUCAAGGGAUCAAUCCAAGAAGAAGAUAUAACCAUUAUAAAGAUAUAUGCACCCAACAUGGGAGCACCUCAAUACAUAAGGCAACUGCUAACAGCUAUAAAAGAGGAAAUCGACAGUAACACUAUAAUAGUGGGGGACUUCUACACCUCACUUACACCAAUGGACAGAUCAUCCAGACAGAAAAUUAAUAAACACAAGCUUUAAAUGACCAGUAGACCAGAUAGAUUUAAUUGACGUUUAUAGGACAUUUGGGCUUCCCUGGUGGCGCAGUGGUUGAGAGUCUGCCUGCCGAUGCAGGGGACACGGGUUCGUGCCCUGGUCCGGGAAGAUCCCACGUGCCGCGGAGUGGCUGGGCCCGUGAGCCAUGGCCGCUAAGCCUGCGUGUCCGGAGCCUGUGCGCCGCAACGGGAGAGGCCACAGCAGUGAGAGGCCCGCGUACCGCAAAACAAACAAACAAACAACAACAACAAAAAACACCUAAAUAGACAUUUCUCCAAAGAAGACAUACAGAUGGCCAAGAAGCACAUGAAAAGCUGCUCAACAUCACUAAUCAUUAGAGAAAUGCAAAUCAAAACUACAAUGAGGUAUCACCUCACACCAGUUAGAAUGGGCAUCAUCAGAAAAUCUACAAACAAUAAAUGCUGGAGAGGGUGUGGAGAAGAGGGAACCCUCUUGCACUGUUGGUGGGAAUGUAAAUUGAUGCAGCCACCAUGGAGAACAGUAUGGAGGUGCCUUAAAAAACUAAAAAUAGAAUUACCGUAUGAUCCAGCAGUCCCACUACUGGCCUAUACCCAGAGAAAACCAGAAUUCAAAAAGACACAUGCACCCCAAUGUUUACUGCAGCACUAUUUACAAUAGCCAGACCAUGGAAGCAAGCUAAAUGCCCAUCGACAGACGAAUGGAUAAAGAAGAUGUAGUACAUACAUACAAUGGAAUAUUACUCAGCCGUAAAAAGGAACGAAAUUGGGUCACUUGUAGAGAUGUGGAUGGAUCUAGAGACUGUCAUACAGAGUGAAGUAAGUCAGAAAGAGAAGAACAAAUAUUGUAUAUUAAUGCAUAUUCGUGAAACCCAGAAAAAAGGUACAGAUGAACUGGUUUGCAGGGCAGAAAUAGAGACACAGAUGUAGAGAACAAAUGUACGAACAACGGGGGAAAGUGGUGGGGGGUUGUUGGUGGUGGGAUGAAUUGGGAGAUUGGGAUUGACAUAUAUACACUAAUAUGUAAACAAUAGAUAACUAAUAAGAACCUACUGUAUAAUAAAAUAAAAUUCAAAAGACAAUUAAAAAAAAACUUUCAAAAGACAGAGCAAGUCUUGAAAACAGCAAGAGAGAAGUGAAUCCUCAGUACGAAUAUCUGUAGAAUUCUCAUCGGACAUUUUGGAGGCCAGAAGACAAGGGGGUUGAUAUGUUAAAAGUCUAAAACAAAAAAGUCAACCGAGAGUCCCUAUCCAGCAAAUCUGUGCUUCAAAAGUGAGGGAAAAGCAAGACAUUACCAGAUAAAAGCUGAGAGGUUUGUUGCCAUUAGACCUGUCCUGCAAGAACUGCUCAGGGGAGUCCUAUAGGAUGCCAUGAAGGGACACUGGACAGUACCUCAAAGCCCUAUGGAGAGAGAGCUCAGUAAAGAUAAAUACAUGGGCAAUUAUAAAAACUAGACGUACUAUAACAAUGGUUUGUAACCAUACUUUUUGUUUUCUAUAACCAAGAAACAUACCUUUGAAGAAAAAACUAUUAAUGUGAAAGCUUGUGUUACUGUAACUUUGGUUUGUAACUCCAAAUUGUGUUGUCUACACAGUUCAGGAAAUACAUUGAGAAGAAUUACUAGUUUCUGUUUUGUGGCACAUGACGUAUAAAGAUGUAACCACCAAAAGGGGUGGGACAGAGCUGUAAAGGAGGAGGAUUUUUGUUAUUGAAGUUAAGCUGCUAUAACUUCAAAUUAGAAUGUUAUAACUUUAGGAUGUUAAAUGGAAUGCUUAUGGUAAACACAAGGAAAAUGGCUGCAGAAUAUAUGGAAGAGGAAGUUAAGAAGGAGUUUAGACAGCUCACUGCCAAAAAACAAAAAGAAAAGGAGACAGGAAUGCAAGAAAUGAGGAACCAAAAAGCUAUAGGGCAUACAGAAACAUAGGCUGUAAGUCAGAAACGUUUACAAGAGACAAAGAAGGAUAUUAUAUAUAACAAAAGGCUUCUGUAUAAUAAAGUACAGCAAGAAGUUAUAACAAUUAUAAACACUUAACGUAACUAAUGCCCAACCAUCAAAAUAUAUGAAACAGAAACUGAGAGAAUUGAAGGGAGAAAUAGUUCUACAAUAAUCGUUCUACCCCACUCACAAUAAUGGAUUAAAAAAACAGAAGAUAAAUAAGGAAGAAAUGCUCAGGGGAUAGUCCUAUAGUCCUUUAAACACCACAAUAAACCAACUAGAUCUAACAGACAUUUACAGAGCACUCCUCACAACAGCAGCAGCACACACAGUCUUCUCAAGUGCACUUGGGACAUUUUCCAGGAUAGACCAUAGGUUAGACCUCAAAUUAAAUCUCAGUAGAUCUUAACAUAUAGAUAUCAUACAAAGUAUCUUCUCUGACCACGAGAUGAAGUUCGAAAUCAAUAACAUAAAACUGGAAAAGUUACAAAAUUGGGGAAAUUAAACAACACUUUUUUUUUUUUGAGUAUAGUUGAUAUACAAUGUUGUGUCAGUGUCAGGUGUACAGCCCCGUGAUUCAAUUGUACAUGGACAUACAUGCAUUCUUUUUCAGAUUUUCUCAUAUAGGUUAUCACAGAAUAUUAAAUAGAGUUCCCUGUGCUAUGCAGUAGGUUCUUGUUGGUUACCUAUCUUAUAUACAGUAGUGUGUGUGUGUUCAUCCCAAGCUCCUGAUUUAUCCCUCCCCUCACGUUUCCCCUUUGGUAACCAUAAGUUUGUUUCUGUUUUGUAGAUACGUUCAUUUGUGUCAUAUUUUAGAUUCCACAUGUAAGUGAUAUCAUAUGGUAUUUGUCUUUCUCUUUCUGACUUACUUUGCAUAGUAUGAUAAUCUCUACAUCCAUCCAUGUUGCUGCACAUGGCAUUAUUUCAUUAUUUUUUAUGGCUGAGUAAUGUUCCAUUGUGUAUAUGUACGACAUCUUCUUUAUCCAUUCCUCUGUCAAUGGACAUUUAGGUUGUUUCCAUGUCCUGGCUAUUGUAAAUAGUACUGCAAUGAACAUUGGGGUGCAUGUAUCUUUUCAGAUUAUGGCUUUCUCAGGAUAUAUGCCCAGGAGUGGGAUUGAAGGAUUAUAUGGUGAUUCCAUUUUAGUUUUUUGUUGUUGUUGUUGCGAUACGCAGGCCUCUCACUGUUGUGGCCUCUCCUGUUACGGAGCACAGGCUCUGGACGUGCAGGCUCAGCGGCCAUGGCUCGCGGGCCCAGCCGCUCCGCAGCAUGUGGGAUCUUCCCGGACCGGGGCACGAACCCGUGUCCCCUGCCUCGGCAGGUGGACUCUCAACCACUGCACCACCAGGGAAGCCCUCCAUUUUAGUUUUUUAAGGAACCUCCAUACUGUUCUCCAUAGUGGCUGUACCAAUUUACAUUCCCACCAGGAGUGUAGGAGGGUUCCCUUUUCUCCACACCCUCUCCAGCAUUUAUUGUUUGUAGACCUUUUGAUGAUGGCCGUUCUGACCGGUGUGCUGGUGCCCAUUGUAGUUUUAUUCUGCAUUUUUCUGAUAAUUACUGAUGUUGAGCAUCUUUUCAUGUGGUUUUUGGCCAUCUGUAUAUCUUCUUUGGAGAAAUGUCUGUUUAGAUCUUCUGCCCAUUUUUUGAUUAGGUUGUUUGUUUUUUUGACAUAGAGCUACAUAAGCUGUGUGUAUAUUUUGGAGAUUAAUCUCUUGUUGGUCACUUUGUAAACAAUACACUUUUUUAAAAAUUUAUUUUUUUUAUUUAUUAUUUUUGGCUGCGUUGGGUCUUCGUUGCUGUGCGCAGGCUCUCUCUAGUUGCGGCGAGCGAUGGCUUCUCAUUGUGGUGGCUUCUCUUGUUGCGGAGCACGGGCUCUAGGCACGCAUGCUUCAGUAGUUGCAGCACGUGGGCUCAGUUAUUGUGGCUCGUGGGCUCUAGAGCGCAGGCUCAGUAGCCGUGGCUCACGGGCUUAGUUGCUCCGUGGUAUGUGGGAUCUUCCCGGACCAGGGCUCGAACCCGUGUCCCCUCUAUUGGCAGGCAUGUUCUUAACCACUGCAGCACCAGGGAAGUCCAACAACACACUUUUUUUUUUCGGUACACGGGCCUCUCACUGUUGUGGCCUCUACCGUUGCGGAGCACAGGCUCCAGACGCACAGGCUCUGUGGCCAUGGCUCACGGGCCCAGCUGCUCCGCAGCAUGUGGGAUCUUCCCGGACCGGGGCACGAACCUGUAUCCUCUGCAUCGGCAGGCGGACUCUCAACCACUGCGCCACCAGGGAAGCCCCAACAAUACACUUUUAAACAACCAAUGGAUCAAGAAGAAAUUACAAGGGAAAUUAGAACAAAUGAAAAUGAAAACACAACAAAAUUUAUGGGAUGCAGUGAAAGCAGUGCUGAGGGGGAAAUUUAUAGCUACAAAUGCUUAUAUUAAAAAAGAAGAAAGAUCUGAGAUCAAUAACCUAACUUUACAACUUAAGGAACUAGAAAACAACAAACUAAACCCAAAGCUAGCAGAAGGAAGGAAAUGAUAUAGAUUAGAAUAGAUUGGAAAGCUUAGUAUUUUUUGUUGAAAAAAACCUCCUGUUUCUUUGCAUGUCUAGUAGGCUUUGGUUGACAACUGGACAUUUUUGAUAAUAGAGUGUAGCAACUCUGGACUUUAUUUUUCUGAGGUGGUUGUCCUUUGGAAACUUACCUGGACUUAAACGUCAGCAUCUCUUCCCCUGCACUCUGCAGCCACUGGUGUGUCUGCUCGUUUUUUUAAGAUUAUUUUUAUUUAUUCGUAGGGGUCACCCCUGAGUCUUUCUAAUGUGGUAGUCAGCAGUGAUUUUGGUUUAACCCAAAUACUCUGAGCCUGUAGGCCUCAUACCCUCUGCUGAUCAAUCUGGGUUGGGGAAUGCUUUCAAGCGCCCCUUGGCUUUCACUUUUCCCCAUGCUCUCCUGGGUCUCUCCCACUCAUACAUUGCUCCCCAGUUAGCCAGGGAUGUGGGGAGAACAUAACUCAGCCCUUUUAUGGUUUUCUCACUUCCAGGAUGUCUGUCACAUUUUUGACUGAUCUGCUGCUUGCCCUAACUUGGACUGCCUCUUGGGCUGGUAAGGCUGCGUGUUUUGAUCAUUCAUUCACAACUGAAUCCACCAUUUUUGGCCAGCACAACUGUAGGUUUCUGCAGCCAGUCCCACAUUGGUAAGACAGCUACUUUUUCCAACCAGGGUUGAGGGGUGUGUUUUGAAGGGAUGGGAGGGAGCCUCAGUCCACAGGGCCACGGACUCCUCCUGCUCCUAUCCUAAGCACCGCCAGGUUUUAAAAGCGAACACUUCUCAUUUUGUUGUCUGCCUUUGCGGUAUUUCCAGUGCCCUGAAGUUGUUGUUCUUGACCAUUUCCCCCAGUUUUAUGGGGUUUUUUUGGUUUUUGUUCUUUGCUGCACCGCGAGGCUUGUGGGAGUUUAGUUCCCUGACCAGGGAUCGAACCUGGGCCCUCAGCACUGAGAGCUCGGAGUCCUAACCACUGGACUGCCAGGGAAGUCCCAAUUUGUUUGUUCUUUGCAAGGAGGAAUUGAGCACCUCUUUAUACUGCCGUAACAGGAAGUCCUUCUUCUCAUUCUUUAUUAUCAUUUCAAAUGAAGAAAGUGAGGCUCAAAGAGAUGAAGCCACUUGCCUGAGGUCCUGCAGUUAGGAAGCAGGGGAGCCAGAGUUAAACUCAGGAACUCUAUUAAAAAAGUUUUAUUUAAGCCACGUAAUUUGACAAGUUUUACAUACGAAUAUGCCCGUGAAACCAUCACUACCACCAAGAUAAUAAACAUAUCUAUCACAUGUCUCUUUCUAAUCCCUCCUGCCCUUCCCUCACCUCUAGGCAACCAGAGAUCUGCUUUCUGUCGCUAUAGUUUGCAUUUCCUAGAAUUUUAUAUAAAUGGAAUCAUAAGUCUGUACUCUUUUUUUCUGGCUUUUUUCAGUCAGCAUAAUUGAAAUCCGUCCAUGUGGUAGUAUAUAUCAAUAAUUUAUUUCUUUUUAUUGCUAAAUAUUCUGUUGCAUUAAUAUGCAAAAGUUUAUCUGUUGACGGACAUUUAUGUUGUUUCUAGAUUUGAGUUAUUACAAGUAAACCUGCUCUGAACAUUUGCGUACAGGUCUUUGUGUGGGAUACGCUUUCAUUUCUCUUUGGUCAUACCUAGGAGUGGGACAGCUGGACCAUAUGGAAGGUGUGUGUUUAACAUUUUAAAUAAACUUUUAAUUCGGAAUAAUUUUAGAUUUACCAAAAAGUUUCAAAGAUAGCAUCUUCCAUUAUUGUAAUUCAUUUGCCAAGGUGAAGAAACUGACAUUGGUACAUUACUAUUAAACUCCAGACUUUAUUUAGAUUUCACCAGUUGUGUUUUUUUUUUUUUUUUUUUUGCGGUACGCAGGCCUCUCACCACUGUGGCCUCUCCGCUCCGGACGCGCAGGCUCAGCGGCCAUGGCUCACGAGCCCAGCCGCUCCGCGGCAUGUGGGGUCGUCCCGGACCGGGGCACAAUCCCGCAUCCCCUGCAUCAGCAGGCGGAUUCUUAACCACUGCGCUACCAGGGAAGCCCCUGUGGGUGGUCUUUGGUUGCCUCCUGGGUCCUUUGGGCGUUGGGUGCGCAGGCGCAGUGUGGGCGGGCGCACGUAGGCGGCAGGCGGGUGCGCAGGCGCAGUGGGCAAUGGGCGCCGAAAGCGCAGGAGUAAGUGCCCCGGGGCGGAGGGCGCACGUGGCCCGUGGACGGCGGGCGCACAGGCGCAGUGGGCGAUGGGCGCUGAAUGCGCAGGCGCAGGUGGGCGGCCGGCAGGCGCGCAGGCGCAGUGGGCAGCGGGCGCACGUGGUAGGCGGGGCCUCAGACGCCAAAGGCGAGAUGGGGCCGUUACGCUGGCAAGUGGUGGCUGCUGUUGUCGGAGGCCUCGCGCUGGCCCUGGAGGCGCUACCCGCUGUGCUGCGCUGGCUGUGGGCCGGGCGGCGGCCGCCGCGGCGCGAGGUGCUGUUCUUCCCGUCGCAGGUGACGUGCACCGAGGCCCUGUUGCGGGUCCCGGGUACCGCGCCCUCGGGCUGCCCUUGCAACCUGCCCCACGGCGAGAGCUCGCUGAGCCGCCUGUUGCGUGCCCUGCUGGCAGCCCGCGCCAGCCUCGAGCUCUGCCUGUUCGCCUUCUCCAGCCCGCAGCUGGGCCGCGCAGUGCAGCUGCUGCACCAGCGCGGGGUGCGCGUUCGCGUGGUCACCGACUGCGACUACAUGGCCCUCAGUGGCUCACAGAUUGGGCUGCUCCGCAAGGCAGGUAGGCCGGGCGCGGGGCCUGGGAGGCGGGAGGCAGAGCCAGGAUGGCGUGGGUGUUUGGGGCGGGGGCCUGAGGACCGGGGAGACCCUCUCGCGUCCGGCCUUGCAAGGUCUGGGGAAACUCCAAGGUCUCCUCAGGAGCUUCUGUGCAGAGCGUCUGAGCCCGCAACCUGGGCGACAGCCCCGGGAGGGGCCGAGGCUGGAAGCAGGUCUGCCAGCAGAAGCUGGUCAGGGCGCAGGUGUGCAGAGAGGCUGCGUCUGCUUAAGGACCAAAGGGAGGAAAAGGCUUUUCCCCUUAAACUCGUUAGUGAAUUUCAUUUUGGAGCUUCUGAAAUGAAUUUUUUAAAAUUUAUUUUAUUUUUUGAAUGCGUUGGGUCUUUGUUGCUGCGCGUGGGCUUUUCUCUGGUUGCGGCGAGCGGGGACUACUCUUCGUUGUGGUGUGUGGGCUUCUCAUUGCGGUGGCUUCUCGUUGCGGAGCACGAGCUCCAGUAGUUGUGGCUCUCGGGCUCUAGAGCGCAGGCUCAGUAGUUGUGGCUCUCGGGCUCUAGAGCGCAGGCUCAGUAGUUGUGGCGCACGGGCUUAGUUGCUCCGCGGCACGUGGGAUCUUCCCGGACCAGCUCGAACCCGCGUCCCCUGCAUCGGCAGGCGGAUUCUUAUCCACUGCCCCACCCGGGAAGCCCUGAAAUGAAUUUUAAAAAUACACUACAACGUGGAGCUGAAAUGUUUAGUUGGUGACAGUUAAUUUGUUUCUCAGGCUACAAAAUGUCAGGGAAGUCAGGUCUGUGGCCGGCCUGCCUCUCUCACUGGAGUGGGGACAGAUGAACCCGGAUGUGUGAAUAAUUUUGAAGACGUUCUAAAUUCACAUCCUGCUUUACCUGUGAAUUCUGCCUCUUCCUCCUGCCUCAGUGUGACGUUGUGUUCUGUGUGAGCUAUUCGGAGUCUGAACCUCGUGCCCUUCUCUCGAUCACUGAGGCACCCAGGAAGGACAUUCCUGCACCAGCAUCUGUUUGACCUGUCAAUUCUGGUGGCCGCUGUGGCCGAAAGAUGCGUGGGGCCUUUAAGAACUGUCCCGGCUGCUCUCAGCCCAGCUUGCAUGGGCCUCUUGCCUGCUCUCCUGAUGGGAACGCACUUCAGUCUUCUGCUGCUUUUCCGUCUGCUUCCGUGUGGGCAGGGUUGGAAACCUAGUGUAAACGUUGAGGACCGUUGGCUUCCGCUCUUCCUGGUAGCCAUGUGUUGUCCUGAUCUGCUGGUUCUUUCGAUGGGGAAACUUGGCUAUGUUUCGGCAUAGCGGUUUUAUUUUGUUUAGGUUUUUAGAGAACCGUAGAACCUCGGGUUUGGGAAGAACCUUAAAGGGCCCCGCGACCAGACCCCGUCUAAACCUUGAUACUCCUCUGAGGGCAUCCAGGCCGUCGUUUGUCACUCACUGUUGAACCGGUCUCUCUGUGAGCCUCUAUUUGCCUGGACCAGUUCCAGGCUCUGGGGACACAGUGCUGAACGGUGGGGGGCUGACUGCAGCAGGAGUCCUGAGGCGCCAGAAAGGGUCAGGAGAUGUCGCAGGACAGCUGCCCGCGACGUGACACGCAUGAGGGCCCAUGCUGUCGUGUGAGGAGUGGCAGGCGAUCCUGUGGUCGAAGGUGGGAGUCACGAGGAGGGGCUGCCGGGUGCACCUUGGGCUCCGUGAGCUCCAACAGGCAGAGAGGCUGUGUGAGCGGGGUGGUCACAGGGCCAGAGCCACGGCUUCAGGGCCAGGGCCCGGUGUCUCCUGUGCUGUUCCCUCCCGCCAGGCUUGUCCCCCUUACAAGGUGCUGACUGAAGGGGAUCUGCUUCUGGGCCUGAGUGAGACCUUAGGGGCAAGUGAACCCAAGCAGAUGGGUUUUGCACCAGUCACCACUGGAUCGUCCUGGAACCAGUAACUGAAGGAUGAUGUGGGUCGUAUGCCCUGGUGGGGGUGGGGAGCCUGCCCCGGAUCAGGGGCUGGGAACAGGGCCUGUUUCCAGAGGAACUGAGUCACGCAUCCCUGCCGCCACCCGGCCCUCGGCUCUGCGGUCCCCCCCACCCCGAUGCCUCUGUGUCCUCCACGCCGCCUCCUGGGGCUGGUGGGGCGGGUCCCUGCCUGGCUCAGCCGCCGUCACCAUCCAGACGUGAUGGUGCCCGCGAAACCGGACACGAGCGCGAUCAGUCAUGUGAACACAUCCAUGCUGCAGAAGGAGCCUGAACUGUAGCGAUGGGUGGGAUCCAGGUCCGGCAUGACCAGGAUCUGGGCUACAUGCACCACAAGUUCGCGAUUGUGGACAAGAAGGUGCUGAUCACUGGCUCGCUGAACUGGACCACUCAGGCCAUUCAGAGCAACCGGGAGAACGUGC